rnacentral:piRNA from 2 species
UACAGCAUCAGACUCAUUGUCUUAGGAU